ACUGGGUUAGCUCAGUGAGGAGAGCAUGAGACUCUUAAUCUCAGGGUCAUGGGCUCCAGCCUCAUAUUGGGCA